rnacentral:tRNA from 1 species
UAACCCUACCCCCAGGGGAAGUCAAAUCCCCGCUGCCUCCUUGAAAAAAGAUGUCC